GCUCAGAACGAACGCUGGCGGCAUGCCUAAUACAUGCAAGUCGAACGAGCCUUUCGGGGUUAGUGGCGCACGGGUGCGUAACGCGUGGGAAUCUGCCCUUGGGUUCGGAAUAACGUCGGGAAACUGACGCUAAUACCGGAUGAUGACGAAAGUCCAAAGAUUUAUCGCCCAGGGAUGAGCCCGCGUAGGAUUAGCUAGUUGGUGAGGUAAAGGCUCACCAAGGCGACGAUCCUUAGCUGGUCUGAGAGGAUGAUCAGCCACACUGGGACUGAGACACGGCCCAGACUCCUACGGGAGGCAGCAGUAGGGAAUAUUGGACAAUGGGGGCAACCCUGAUCCAGCAAUGCCGCGUGAGUGAUGAAGGCCUUAGGGUUGUAAAGCUCUUUUACCCGGGAUGAUAA
rnacentral:rRNA from 1 species